UUUUAUAAUAAAAUUUACUAUAAUUUUAUUAUUAUAAUAAUUUUUAAUAAAUCAUUUUAUUGUUUAUGUAUUUGUUAAAGAUAAAAUUUUUUUUUGUAAUAAUUUAUUAGUACUGUGAAGGAAUAUAAAUAUUUAAAUUAUUUUGUAAGUAGAAUUUAUUUUUUGUACCUUGUGUAUCAGGAUUUAUUAAUAAUAAAUUAUUUAAUUUAAAUUUCUCGAUUCUUUUAGAGUUAAUAAUUUAUAUUAAUUAUUGUAAUAAAAAUAUUUAUAAUAAUUUAUUGGUAAUGAUAUGUUAUUCGUUAAAGGAUAUAUCUAGUUUUUUAGGAAAUAAAUUUAAUUUAAAUUCUUCCUUUAAUUAUUUAAUUUAAAAAUUUUAUUUUAGGUAGAAUUAAUAAUAGUAAGGAUAAGCUUAUUAUUAAAUAUUUAUGGAAAAUUAUUUAAUUAAUAAAUAAUAUAAAUUUAGAAAUGAUUUUUAUUAUGAAUAUGUUAAAAUUUUAUUUUGUUAAUAUAACAAUUUUUUUUUUUCUUAAUUUUUUACUAAGAAUUUUUAAUUAAUUUUUAUAUAAUUUUAAUUAUGAUAGAAUUAGUAUAUUAUAAUUUAUAAAAUUUUGUUUAUGAAAUAUAAUUUUGGGGAAUUAGGCAAAUAAGUUAUUCGCCUGUUUAACAAAAACAUCGUUUCUUGUUUAAAUAAGAAAUAUAACCUGCCCAAUGAUAAUUUUAAUGGCCGCGGUAUACUGACCGUGCAAAGGUAGCAUAAUCAUUAGUCUUUUAAUUGAAGGCUGGAAUGAAUGGUUUGACGAGAUAACAACUAUCUUAUUAUUAUAAAGUUGAAUUUAAUUUUUAAGUAAAAAAGCUUAAAUUUAUUUUUGGGACGAGAAGACCCUAUAGAAUUUAAUAAUAUUAAUAAUUAUUUAUAUUUGUUAAUUAAAAAAGUUUUAAUAAUAUUUUGUUGGGGUGAUGAAAAGAUAAAAAUAACUCUUUAAUCUAUUAAUUAUAAAUUUAUAUAUUUUUGAUCCACUUUUAGUGAUUAUAAGACUAAAUUACCUUAGGGAUAACAGCGUAAUCUUUUUUGAGAGUUCAUAUCGACAAAAGGGGUUGCGACCUCGAUGUUGGAUUAAGAUUAUCUUUAGGUGUAGCAGCUUAAAAAUUAAGUCUGUUCGACUUUUAAAAUCUUACAUGAUCUGAGUUCAAACCGGCGUGAGCCAGGUUGGUUUCUAUCUAAUAUAAAAAUAAAUAUUUUAGUACGAAAGGACCAAAUAUUUAAAAUAAUUUUUAUUGUUUGAUUAUUAUUA
rnacentral:rRNA from 1 species